rnacentral:rRNA from 1 species
CGUAGGGUGCGAGCGUUGUCCGGAAUUAUUGGGCGUAAAGAGCUCGUAGGCGGCUUGUCACGUCUGCUGUGAAAUCCCGAGGCUCAACCUCGGGCCUGCAGUGGGUACGGGCAGACUGGAGUGCGGUAGGGGAGAAUGGAAUUCCUGGUGUAGCGGUGGAAUGCGCAGAUAUCAGGAGGAACACCGAUGGCGAAGGCAGUUCUCUGGGCCGUAACUGACGCUGAGGAGCGAAAGCGUGGGGAGCGAACAGGAUUAGAUACCCUGGUAGUCCACGCCGUAAACGUUGGGCGCUAGAUGUGGGGACCUUUCCACGGUUUCCGUGUCGUAGCUAACGCAUUAAGCGCCCCGCCUGGGGAGUACGGCCGCAAGGCUA